GAUGAACGCUGGCGGCGUGCCUAAUACAUGCAAGUCGAGCGAGCAGAUAAGGAGCUUGCUCCUUUGACGUUAGCGGCGGACGGGUGAGUAACACGUGGGUAACCUACCUAUAAGACUGGGAUAACUUCGGGAAACCGGAGCUAAUACCGGAUAACAUUUUGAACCGCAUGGUUCUAAAGUGAAAGAUGGUUUUGCUAUCACUUAUAGAUGGACCCGCGCCGUAUUAGCUAGUUGGUAAGGUAACGGCUUACCAAGGCGACGAUACGUAGCCGACCUGAGAGGGUGAUCGGCCACACUGGAACUGAGACACGGUCCAGACUCCUACGGGAGGCAGCAGUAGGGAAUCUUCCGCAAAGGGCGAAAGCCUGACGGAGCAACGCCGCGUGAGUGAUGAAGGGUUUCGGAUCGUAAAACUCUGUUAUUAGGGAAGAACAAAUGUGUAAGUAACUGUGCACGUCUUGACGGUACCUAAUCAGAAAGCCACGGCUAACUACGUG
rnacentral:rRNA from 1 species